rnacentral:rRNA from 1 species
UACAGAGGUCUCAAGCGUUUGUUCGGAUUCAUUGGGCGUAAAGGGUGUGUAGGUGGCGCCGUAAGUCGGGUGUGAAAUUUCGGAGCUUAACUCCGAAACUGCAUUCGAUACUGCGGUGCUUGAGGACUGGAGAGGAGACUGGAAUUCAUGGUGUAGCAGUGAAAUGCGUAGAGAUCAUGAGGAAGACCAGUGGCGAAGGCGGGUCUCUGGACAGUUCCUGACACUGAGGCACGAAGGCCAGGGGAGCAAACGGG